CAGGCUGGUACAGAGCACAGAGCCUGUGACAGAAUAACCUCCUAGCAGUGAUGAAGGCAGUGCUUUUUCCAAGUCUGUUCUAUCUGUUUGAAUUCAGUUACAAAUGCUGCAGCAAAGAAGUGGGGAACUGUGAUGUUCAAGUGCCUUAAUGAAUUUCAGCUCAAGCAUUUGAGGCUUUGCUGAAACCCUGCAAAGGCAGAGAUUCUGUGGAGCCAGUCUCGUUCAGCAUGGACACCUCCACAAGCUGCUGCGUGACUGGCAGACCUGCAGCAAGGCACAGUGACCAGCAGCAGUGAUGGCACAAGUGGGUGACAUCACCAGCUUUUGAUCUCCGGUCCAGUGAUUGAGUCACAGGUCAGGCUAUCUUCUAUUGACCAUGCCAGCAUCUACGGAGCUCCUUAGCAGUACAGACUAAUGGAAGUGGGUAUCUGUGCUUGCAAUUGUGGCUACAGAGGUUAUUACUUUGCUCAUCAGAAGAGCCUUGUAAACAGUGCUACAAGUCGCUGAUGCGUGCUUCAUUUUAAGUCAGCUCACAGUAAUG